CCUCUUUUCCUCCUCUACAGCUCCGGCACCAUAGCCAUCAUGAUUGACACAGUAACCAUCCGGACCAGGAAGUUCAUGAGAAACCGUCUGCUUCAGAGGAAACAGAUGGUCACUGAUGUCCUUCAUCCCGGGAAGGCAACAGUACCGAAGACAGAAAUUCGGGAAAAGUUGGCCAAAAUGUACAAAACCACACUAGAUGUCAUCUUUGUAUUUGGAUUCAGAAGCCACUUCGGUGGUGGCAAGACAACUGGCUUUGGCACGAUCUAUGAUUCUUUAGAUUAUGCAAAGAAGAAUGAGCCUAAACACAGACUUGCAAGACGUGGCCUUUAUGAGAAGAAAAAGACCUCCCGAAAACAACGAAAGGAACGCAAGAACAGAAUGAAGGUGGUCAGGGGGACUGCCAAUGUUGGUGCUGGCAAAAAGCCAAAGGAGUAGAUCUGCGGUGACUUGAUGUUCUGUUGUGAUGUGCAGAUUUCUGAGAGGACAAAUAAACUAAAAAGCUUCUACAUGGAAA